GCCGGCGGCGUGCCUAAUACAUGCAAGUCGAACGAGGCUCUUCGGAGCCGAGUGGCGUACGGGUGAGUAACACGUUGGUAACCUGCCCUCCAGACCGGAAUACCAGAGAGAAAUCUCUGCUAAUGCCGGAUGACGUCAUAUGGUCGCAAGACCACUUGACCAAAGGCGGCAACUGCCGCGCUGAAGGAUGGACCUGCGUCGCAUUAGCUAGUUGGCGGGAUAAUGGCCCACCAAGGCGAGGAUGCGUAGCCGAGCUGAGAGGCUAAACGGCCACAUUGGGACUGAGACACGGCCCAGACUCCUACGGGAGGCAGCAGUAGGGAGUAUUUGGCAAUGGGGGAAACCCUGACCGAGCAACGCCGCGUGUGUGAUGAAGGCCUUCGGGUCGUAAAACACUGUGAUUCUCUGGGAAACUCAUGGGGAGUGGAAAGCCUCAUGACUGACCGGACUAUUAGAAAGCAACUGCUAACUACGUGCCAGCAGCAGCGGUAAUACGUAGGUUGCAAGCGUUAUCCGGAAUUAUUGGGCGUAAAGAGUGAGCAGGCGGCUUUGCAAGCCGGGGGUCAAAGGCAGUGGCUUAACCAUUGUUCGUCCCCGGAACUGCAUGGCUAGAGUGCUGGAGAGGCAAGCGGAACUCCACAUGUAGCGGUGAAAUGCGCAGAUAUGUGGAAGAACACCAGUGGCGAAGGCGGCUUGCUAGACAGUAACUGACGCUCAGUCACGAAAGCGUGGGGAGCAAAUAGGCUUAGAUACCCUAGUAGUCCACGCCGUAAACGUUGAGGACCAGGUGUCGGGGGCAUACCUCGGCGCCACAGCUAACGCAUUGAGUCCUCCGCCUGGGUACUACGUUCGCAAGAAUAAAACUUAAAGGAAUUGACGGGGGCCCGCACAAGCAGUGGAGCAUGUGGUUUAAUUCGUGGCUACGCGGAAAACCUUACCUGGGUUUGACAUCUUCUCAAAGGCCCUAGAGAUAGGGAGAUAGUUAUGGGAAUGAACGGUGGUGCAUGGCUGUCGUCAGCUCGUGUCGUGAGAUGUUGGGUUAAGUCCCGCAACG
rnacentral:rRNA from 1 species